AUCCACAGGUGUUUGUUGUGUAGUUUGCAAUCAUGGCGGCUCCGGAGGAGCUGUCAAUGUUAUCAAUUCGCAAGUUUAUGCUCUCCAGGGGCGGAACGGUGACCAACCAUGAGCUCGUGCGCCACUUCAAAUACUUCCUCACCAACGAGGAGUCGAAAGUUCAUGCCAAAAUGUAUUUCAAGGAGUACGUGAACACGUUAGCACACAUAAGCAAAAACGAACAUGGUGAAAAGUACCUGACCCUGAAGCCGCGCUACCAGGGCCCAAUAGAGUCCGCGGGAUUUGGGUCGCCAGCAGGGGGCCCGGUCCGGAACUUGGGACCCUCGUCACCCAGCCCGUCGUUCAGUGGCUCCCUGCUUUCGGUUUCUGCCCUGUCGCAGGAGAACCUGAUGGAGUCGCCGGGCCGGGUGCCGCCGCCCUACCGGCCGCCGCCACCCCCGGCCUUAUCGCCGCGAAGCAGCCCUAGUUGCCCACCCCCGUACAUCGGGCCACCGCCUGCCUACCGCGUAGUCGAGGGCCAGGAAGCUGAGAACGGGGGCCUGCCGCCUCCGCCGGUACCCCCACGCAGGCGCAGCAGCGAUAAGGGCUUUGGCAGCAAGGAGAAUUUGCUGCAGCCGGUGCCUGAGGUGCCAAUGGAGGUCGUCCUCAGGCCUAAAACUCAAGGACAAGAGACGGCCAGGGAGCAACCCCAAAAAAGGGAGAGUGCGUCGUCCGUGGAAAAAGAGCCUGAAGCCAAAAUCAGCGUCAAAGAGCGCACGCAGAAGUUCAACAGGAUGGCUUCGGAAGGGGACAUGAGACAAGUUUUGCAACAGGUCAACAAGAAGAAGGUUGACAAGGCCGACGAGGAAGAAACUAGGCCUCUGGACCAGAAAGACCGUGAGUGGCUGAUAAAGGCCUCGCAGGUGGACUACCAGGCGCUGGCAAAGUUGGCCGUGGAAAAACCCAAGCUGGUGCAUCUGACCUAAUUCCGUGACCAUGAGAAUUCGACGCAGCGGAAAAAACGCGAUGAAACAAAGGGCCGAAUCGAUUUCCACCUCGAAUCAUCUCUACUCAAUCAGAAGAGCAGCGGCGGUAAAUUAGUGAUUACACAGCUUUCGCUAUUGUGCUCGGCGAUGCGCCGCUUGCUCCAGUGUCAACCGCUAUCGUCGCCGAUCGUCAAAUCGAAAGGGAAUAUCUCGGUGCAAGCACAAUCGGACCGCGACCAGGAAGAUUCGGUCAGGCAAAAAUAAAUUGCUCAUUUGAGCGAGGGCAAAGUCUUUAAAAGAAGCUCGCCAGCUGCUCGGCACAGACACUCCUGAGAAAAUGCUGGUGGCGUGCAGUGUGGUGCUGCUGCAACUGCAGCUGAGCCUGGCUCUCAACAUGCUGGCCUCGGACGAGAUCAACGACGUCUUGCGCGUGCAGGCCAUGAGCCAGGGUGUCUUCGGACGCAGGCUCAGCCUGAUGCGCCACGACGUCCUCGAGACCGCAGAGUCUGCGACACCACCAGAGAUUUUCCAGGUUGUCGCAGGCAUACCUCAGAACGGGCUCGGAAAUCCGGUUGCAUCUGAAAUUCUGAAAAACUACGGGAAGGCGAGCAAGAAGAAGAGUUCGGUGUAUAAGAAGCCGUUGGUGAAAACGCCGAGCGGUUCAUACACGCCCGAGCUUCUCGAAUGUGACAACAGUGACCAGACGUCCGAGUCGAGCCAGGUCUCCAUUACGGAAAUUAUUCCCACGGCGGAGCAGAAUGCUAAACGAAAACGGUCGAGUGAAUCAAGCAAACUCAUUGAUAGGCGCCGCGCAAACAUCAUCAGGAGCUUGAAAAAAGAUUCUGCGUCAACAUCCACUUCAAAACCAUAUGUUUCCACUGUUGACGAAAGUCUUGUGGCUCGAGAUAAUGACAAUGUCGAUUCAAGUUUGUCUAGAUUGGAAGAUGCAGAGGAUGAUAAAAAUGAUAAUAUUGAAGAAGAUGACACUGGUGCUAAUUUCGACAGUGAAGUACCCUCAGAAAUCAUAAAAACAGUGCACUUUCACAGAUCUGUAAUAAGCCAUUCGGUUUUCCCUGGAGAAUAAAAAACAAAAACUUUUUCAUACCAUUUUUUGUAAUUAUAUUUUUGAAAUAAAAUAUGCAUUCGCCAUUUUUU